rnacentral:tRNA from 1 species
GCAUCAAUGGGGUAGUGGUAACCUGGGUCGUUGCCAUUGUAUUCUGUUCGCAGCGGUCGAUAUCGACCCGCCGGGGGUUCGAUUCCCUCUUGAUGCA